AACUGAACGGUGGUUGGGGAAAACUAAGGGAACACUCGAAGAACAUAAAAGGCCAAGUUCUAUUGAUAAGAUGAUUAAUUGUGUAUUCAAUGAAUCGUAAGUCGUAAGUCGUAACAUAUGUAGCAAACUGAAUCAAAUAAACACUUAUAUAUUGAUCUAAUUAUAUCAAAUAUAUAGAUGGUUAAUUUGUAUGUUACAAU
rnacentral:lncRNA from 1 species